UGCCAGACUCCUACGGGAGGCAGCAGUGGGGGAUAUUGCACAAUGGGGGAAACCCUGAAGCAGCAACGCCGCGUGGAGGAUGAAGGUUUUCGGAUUGUAAACUCCUUUUGUUAGAGAAGAUAAUGACGGUAUCUAACGAAUAAGCACCGGCUAACUCCGUGCCAGCAGCCGCGGUAAUACGGAGGAUGCGAGCGUUAUCCGGAUUUAUUGGGUUUAAAGGGUGCGCAGGCGGCCUGUUAAGUCAGGGGUAAAAGCCGGGGGCCCACCCCCGGCGAGCCGUUGAAACUGGCGGGCUGGAGUUGGAGAGAAGUAUGCGGAAUUCGUGGUGUAGCGGUGAAAUGCAUAGAUAUCACGAAGAACCCCGAUUGCGAAGGCAGCAUACCGGCUCCACACUGACGCUGAGGCACGAAAGCGUGGGUAUCGAACAGGAUUAGAUACCCCGGUA
rnacentral:rRNA from 1 species